GCGCGUUUCGUCUAGUGGCUCAGGACUCCUCCCGCGAAGGGAGGUAACGCGGGUUCGAAUCCCGUAACGCGCU
rnacentral:tRNA from 1 species